rnacentral:rRNA from 1 species
GAUGAACGCUGGCGGCGUGCCUAAUACAUGCAAGUCGAACGCUGAAGGAAGGAGCUUGCUCUUUCCGGAUGAGUUGCGAACGGGUGAGUAACGCGUAGGUAACCUGCCUGGUAGCGGGGGAUAACUAUUGGAAACGAUAGCUAAUACCGCAUAACAGUAGAUGUUGCAUGAUAUCUACUUAAAAGGUGCAAUUGCACCACUACCAGAUGGACCUGCGUUGUAUUAGCUAGUUGGUGAGGUAACGGCUCACCAAGGCGACGAUACAUAGCCGACCUGAGAGGGUGAUCGGCCACACUGGGACUGAGACACGGCCCAGACUCCUACGGGAGGCAGCAGUAGGGAAUCUUCGGCAAUGGACGGAAGUCUGACCGAGAAACGCCGCGUGAGUGAAGAAGGUUUUCGGAUCGUAAAGCUCUGUUGUAAGAGAAGAAAGAGUGUGAGAGUGGAAAGUUCACACUGUGACGGUAUCUUACCAGAAAGGGACGGCUAACUACGUG